rnacentral:rRNA from 1 species
UGUCAUAGCCAUAUCACCCUGCAGCCCAAGACCAGUUACUCACUGAAGCUAAGCAGGGGUGAGCCUGGUCAGUACCUGGAUGGGAGAUCACAUGGGAAAACUAGGUUGCUGUUGGAA